rnacentral:lncRNA from 1 species
UGGCCAAGAUUUUGCUAAAUUGAAAUACAGCGACUCAUUCUUCUCCAACUCUUGGAGUGAUCAAUCCCAUCUUGAUCACACUCCGACUUCGCAAGUACUUGACUGUGCCCAGAAGCCUUCCGUCACUGAAUUAGAAAUUCAGUUAGUCCAGUACCAAAGCACAGUGAGUUGCUUGCAAGUCACUGAGGCGAUCUCAGAUCUAAGGGACACUUAUUCUAUAUCCCAUCAGAGACAUUC